AAUAUUGGACAAUGGGGGCAACCCUGAUCCAGCCAUGCCGCGUGUGUGAAGAAGGUCUUCGGAUUGUAAAGCACUUUAAGUUGGGAGGAAGGGCUUUAUGCUAAUACCCUGAAGUUUUGACGUUACCAACAGAAUAAGCACCGGCUAACUCUGUGCCGGCAGCCGUGGUAAUAAAGAGGUGGCAAGCGUUAAUCGGAAUUACGGGGCGAAAACGGCGCGUAGGGGUUGCAGUAAAAGGGUGAUAAAACCCCCGGCCUAACCUGGGGAACUGCUUUCAUAACUGUGGUGCAGGGGUAGGGGGGAGGGUAGGGGAAUUCCUGGUGUAGCGGGAAAAGGGGAAGAAAAGGGAAGAACAACCGGUGGAGAAGAGGACUACCUGAACGAAUAUUGAAACGGAGGGGCGAAAGGGGGGGGGGAAAAA
rnacentral:rRNA from 1 species